UACAACGGAUACAUGAUCGUCUUCUAUCCCCUCGCAUUGGGUGUAUUUAUUAUAUAAACAUCUUUGCCCAUCGCGGGCUCCUUGGUGAAUCAUAAUACCUAUCCGAAAUUUUGGCCUUGCGCCGGCGAUGGUUCAUUCAAAUUUCUGCCCUAUCAACUUUCGAUGGUAGGAUAGUGGCCUACCAUGGUGGCAACGGGUAACGGGGAAUUAGGGUUCGAUUCCGGAGAGGGAGCCUGAGAAACGGCUACCACAUCCAAGGAAGGCAGCAGGCGCGCAAAUUACCCAAUCCCGACACGGGGAGGUAGUGACAAUAAAUACUGAUACGGGGCUCUUUUGGGUCUCGUAAUUGGAAUGAGUACAAUCUAAAUCCCUUAACGAGGAACAAUUGGAGGGCAAGUCUGGUGCCAGCAGCCGCGGUAAUUCCAGCUCCAAUAGCGUAUAUUAAAGUUGUUGCAGUUAAAAAGCUCGUAGUUGAACCUUGGGUCUGGCUGGCCGGUCCGCCUCACCGCGAGUACUGGUCCGGCUGGACCUUUCCUUCUGGGGAACCUCAUGGCCUUCACUGGCUGUGGGGGGAACCAGGACUUUUACUGUGAAAAAAUUAGAGUGUUCAAAGCAGGCCUUUGCUCGAAUACAUUAGCAUGGAAUAAUAGAAUAGGACGUGCGGUUCUAUUUUGUUGGUUUCUAGGACCGCCGUAAUGAUUAAUAGGGAUAGUCGGGGGCGUCAGUAUUCAGCUGUCAGAGGUGAAAUUCUUGGAUUUGCUGAAGACUAACUACUGCGAAAGCAUUCGCCAAGGAUGUUUUCAUUAAUCAGGGAACGAAAGUUAGGGGAUCGAAGACGAUCAGAUACCGUCGUAGUCUUAACCAUAAACUAUGCCGACUAGGGAUCGGGCGGUGUUUCUAUAAUGACCCGCUCGGCACCUUACGAGAAAUCAAAGUUUUUGGGUUCUGGG
rnacentral:rRNA from 1 species